AGUGAACGCUGGCGGCAGGCCUAACACAUGCAAGUCGAACGGCAGCACAGGAGAGCUUGCUCUCUGGGUGGCGAGUGGCGGACGGGUGAGGAAUAUAUCGGAAUCUACCCUUUCGUGGGGGAUAACGUAGGGAAACUUACGCUAAUACCGCAUACGACCUGAGGUUGAAAGCGGCGGACCGCAAGGCGUCGCGCGGAUGGAUGAGCCGAUAUCCGAUUAGCUAGUUGGCGGGGUAAAGGCCCAACAAGGCGACGACCGGUAGGUGGUCUGAGGGGGUGAUCAGCCACACUGGAACUGAGACACGGUCCAGACUCCUACGGGAGGCAGCAGUGGGGAAUAUUGGACAAUGGGCGCAAGCCUGAUCCAGCCAUGCCGCGUGUGUGAAGAAGGCCUUCGGGUUGUAAAGCUCUUUCGGCAGGAACGAAACGGUUUGCCCUAAUACGGUGAGCUAAUGACGGUACCUGAAGAAGAAGCACCGGCUAACUACGUGCCAGCAGCCGCAGUAA
rnacentral:rRNA from 1 species